CCGUGCUUUAUCCAGUCAUAUAUAAUGCUAUUAAUACAUUUUAAUUAAUUUAAUUAAAUGAAACCAGUAUAAUUACCAGUUAAGUAGAUAUUUCAUCCGAUUGGUAGUCUCAGGGACUUAUUUGGAUGUCUCUCUCUGCAUGGAGGUGUUGGUUAGAAAGUCAGUAAAUUCUAGUGUUAGAGUUUUAGGAGUAGAGUGUUAGUCUCAGAUGUUGUCCGAGUUGGAAUCCCCAAACUUCCAAUUCCUCUCUCCUCUCCUUUGCAUCUCUUGGAUCUGCCUCGCAUCUCUCUUGUAUCCCUCUAUCUUCCCUUUGUCUUAACUUUUAAAGGGCCAGACUCUCUGUACGUCAUCAGUUGAUAACCCAAUAGAAGCACUAGAGGUGUGGUUAUCUUCC